rnacentral:misc_RNA from 1 species
CGCACAUUGCGCCCUCUGGUAUUCCGGGGGGCAUGCCUGUUCGAGCGUCAUUAUAACCACUCAAGCUCUCGCUUGGUAUUGGGGUUCGCGGUUCCGCGGCCCCUAAAAUCAGUGGCGGUGCCUGUCGGCUCUACGCGUAGUAAUACUCCUCGCGAUUGAGUCCGGUAGGUCUACUUGCCAGUAACCCCUAAUUUUUACAGGUUGACCUCGGAUCAGGUAGGGAUACCCGCUGAACUUAA